rnacentral:rRNA from 1 species
GACGAACGCUGGCGGCGUGCCUAAUACAUGCAAGUAGAACGCUGAAGGAGGAGCUUGCUCUUCUGGAUGAGUUGCGAACGGGUGAGUAACGCGUAGGUAACCUGCCUGGUAGUGGGGGAUAACUAUUGGAAACGAUAGCUAAUACCGCAUAAUAACAGUUGUUGCAUGACAACUGUUUGAAAGGUGCAAUUGCAUCACUACCAGAUGGACCUGCGUUGUAUUAGCUAGUUGGUGGGGUAACGGCUCACCAAGGCGACGAUACAUAGCCGACCUGAGAGGGUGAUCGGCCACACUGGGACUGAGACACGGCCCAGACUCCUACGGGAGGCAGCAGUAGGGAAUCUUCGGCAAUGGACGAAAGUCUGACCGAGCAACGCCGCGUGAGUGAAGUAGGUUUUCGGAUCGUAAAGCUCUGUUGUAAGAGAAGAACGAGUGUGAGAGUGGAAAGUUCACACUGUGACGGUAUCUUACCAGAAAGGGACGGCUAACUACGUGC